rnacentral:lncRNA from 1 species
AUCAUCGCUUAUGGGUCUCAUGUGCUUUCACAGACAUGUUUGACUUCUAGCCUUACAUGUGUUAUUUUCUGAGAGGUCUGACUUGGAACUGACUUGGAGUAUUCCAUUAUUACUUGUUAAGCAACUGCAUAAAAAUAUGAAUGUUCAUAUUCAUAAAAUAAAGCUAUAGCUUUAUUUUCUGCAUCAUAAAUAUGGAAACAUUCAAUAAAAUUCAGUCUUACUAUGG